rnacentral:lncRNA from 1 species
GAAGAACUCUUUAGUUUAAGGAGAUAAUAAAAACCAUGGUGGAGGAACUAAAGAAAUACUUCAACCAUUUGAUGUCAUUGGUUGAAGGCCUUUAUGCAAUAAUAAUUACAGACAGAGAUGGUGUUCCAGUGUUUAAAGGUAUUAUUUGUGAUAUGAUUUAUUCUUACACAAAAAUAUCAU